UACUGUACAUACCUGUCUUCUACUUGGGGAGUGUUUUCUCUCGACCAGGUCCCUUUUAAGUGAGCCAUUUCGGGUAUCGCUGAGCCGCUCCGGUGUGAAAAAUCGGCAAGAAAAGUGCGCGGACGCAGAUCGCAAGUCUGAUAUGAUGUUACCUUCAAUACAAAGUCUGUUAUCUCUCGAGUGCUCCUGUCAGUCGCGUAAAGAAUAAAAAAUAUCCCAAAACUAGAUGUCUCACUGAAAGAGGCUAAUUUUCAUCGAAGAAGGAUGUAGGCCUCGAUAUGCGCCAAAUACAAGGGGAGGAAGAAGAAGCGUGACAAGGUGUUCGCG